rnacentral:piRNA from 1 species
UUCCUCAUUGCUUGUCACCUAUUAC